UGUCAUAUAAAAUACAAUACUAAAUCAUAAUACAAAAUAAAUACAAAAUCCACUGCACAGGGGCGGAGGGGGACUCCGUUCUAAAAAUAAAUAAACAAAUCAAAUGUACAGGGCACCUCGUCCUGUUACAGGGAUACAUACAGCACAGUGAUUUUUUUUUUAAGUCAAGCGUUUUUUGUGUUUUAGAUGAAGGUGAACAAAAUUCAAAAAAGAAGAAAAAAUCAGUUUACAAUUCUACGUUUGCCUAAAGCACCGAAUUUUACUCCGGUUUUUGGAUUCCAGAGAACGGACGCAUCCCAGUCUCUGGGAAGAUCCAAUGCUCCAGAAUGCCUCUCUGACACGGCUGAUACAACAUUUCAAGCUCUGACACCACUGAUAAACCCUCUGACAUCAACCCAAACCAAUGGAGAAUCAAGGAGGAGAUCAGCCCCUUAUGACAACUACCAACUAAAUGUCCUAAUGAAGUUGGAUGCCAUCAUAGAGAACCAGGCAGAAAUACUAGCCAUACAGAGAUGGCAGCUCUCUACAGGGGCAACAGAGGUCGAAGAUGAUCUCCUCCAAAGGCCCUGUACAGAAGGAGAGGAACUCCUUGUAACCAGGAGGUCCCCGGUUCAAAUCCCACCUCAGCCACUGACUAAUUGUGUGACCCUGAGCA